rnacentral:rRNA from 1 species
GAUGAACGCUGGCGGCGUGCCUAAUACAUGCAAGUCGAGCGAACAGACCAGGAGCUUGCUCCUCUGACGGUAGCGGCGAGCGGGUGAGUAACACGUGGAUAACCUACCUAUAAGACUGGGAUAGGUUCUGGACACCGGAGAUAAGACCGGAUAAUAUAUUGGACUGCAUGGUGCAAUAGGGAAAGGCGGUUGUGCUGUUACUGAUAGGUGGAUCCGCGCCGCAUUAGCUAGUUGGUAAGGUAACGGCGUACCAAGGCAACGAUGCGUAGCAGACCUGCGGGGGUGAUCGGCCACACUGGCACUGAGACACGGUCCAGACUCCUACGGGAGGCAGCAGUAGGGAAUCUUCCGCAAUGGGCGAAAGCCUGACGGAGCAACGCCGCGUGAGUGAUGAAGGUUUUCGGAUCGUAAAUCUCUGUUAUUAGGGAAGAACAAAUGUGUAAGUAACUAGGCACGUCUUGACGGUACCUAAUCAGAAAGCCACGGCUAACUACGUG